rnacentral:rRNA from 1 species
AUGGUAGGAUAGAGGCCUACCAUGGUGGUAACGGGUAACGGGGUGUCAGGGCACGACACCGGAGAGGGAGCCUGAGAAACGGCUACCACAUCCAAGGAAGGCAGCAGGCGCGCAAAUUACCCAAUCCCGACACGGGGAGGUAGUGACAAUAAAUAACAAUACAGGGUUCUUUGAAUCUUGUAAUUGGAAUGAGUACAAUUUAAAUCUCUUAACGAGGAACAAUUGGAGGGCAAGUCUGGUGCCAGCAGCCGCGGUAAUUCCAGCUCCAAUAGCGUAUAUUAAAGUUGUUGCAGUUAAAAAGCUCGUAGUUGAAUUUCGGGAUCAAUACGUCGGUCGUGCUUUCGGGUACGUACUGGCGUCAUUGGUUUCUCCUUUCUGACGAACCAUGAUGUCAUUAAUUUGGUGUUAUGGGGAGUUAGGACUGUUACUUUGAAAAAAUUAGAGUGUUUAAAGCAGGCAUUAGCUUGAAUACAUUAGCAUGGAAUAAUGAAAUAGGACGUUCGAUCCUAUUUUGUUGGUUUCUAGGAUCAACGUAAUGAUUAAUAGGGAUAGUUGGGGGCAUUAGUAUUCAAUUGUCAGAGGUGAAAUUCUUGGAUUUAUUGAAGACUAACUACUGCGAAAGCAUUUGCCAAGGAUGUUUUCAUUAAUCAAGAACGAAAGUUAGGGGAUCGAAGACGAUCAGAUACCGUCGUAGUCUUAACCAUAAACUAUGCCGACUAGGGAUCGGAUGAUGUUAAUUUUUUAAUGACUCAUUCGGCGCCUUACGGGAAACCAAAGUGUUUGGG